UCCACACCUCACAGCCGACAAAAACUUAUCUUCUUUCAUCCCCUCUUCCUCUUCCUGCCCUCUCUAUCUCACACUUGCUCCUCCAACGAACUCCGCCAUUGACAGCUUCAGCCUCAGCGUGCAGCUGCUGAAGGUGAACUCCUAAGCACUAACGACGAGUCUCUUGCUUCCCUCAAUCUGUUUGGUGUACUUGCUCUUCUGGUAUGUAGAAUUGGUUAGGCAAAAACAACUACUCCCUGCAGUAAGAAAUGCCCUGUCCGGAGAAAAAGCCCCAAUAGAAUUGGUCGCAUCUUCCACGACAACUUUCACAUUGCUGCUCUACAAAGCAGUUGUGGACCAUUUGGCACUGUUACAAGAACACUAUGUUUGUACAUGGACCAUCUCCAAUCGCACUCCUCCAUGCUGCGGCUUCUGAAUGCCGUUUACCAUAUGCAUCUCUCAUCACUGAAAUUGCAGACAAUUCGACAAUAUUAUGUGGUGUCGAAUUGGAAUUGCCGCAGUUGGAACUCAUAGGACCACGCCAUGAGCAUUUUUUCUGGCAAACGGCAUAUUUAGAUCUUAAUGAUGCAUAUGAAAAAACAUGUCUCAAAGCAUUUUCCUUUCUGCAGCUUUUUUAUAACCUCACACUAACAAAUUAUUACUGUGAUGGACAAAUUACUUACAGAGAAGUUAGAAAUGAAAAUUUCCCCACACUCACACCAGAUUACUACCCGUCAAAAGUGAACUACGUAUGCAAUGGUAGUAGCACGCUGCUUCCCAAACGUACACACAACUAAAUAUGUUCUUGCCACUUUUUCUUGAAUCAAUAUCACUUAUUUCUAUGCCUAAGAAUAGUACCUCACAAUUACCAUCAAUAUUUCAUGUCACUUUAUUUUUUUUAUUUUUCCCCUUUAUUUUAUUCCCUGUUUUAUUUUUCCCCUUUUAUUUUAUUUCCUCUUUCCCUAUCUAUGUGCUUUAUCUUCCUGCUGAUACAUUCCCCUGUAAUUAAUAGUAACUGUUAAUCAGCUACUCAUGUAUCCAACUAUGUAGACUAAUAUUUGUAUCGUAUCAAUUACUAGACAUUUAAUUUUACUGUCACAAUGCCAACAAUUGCCAAUCCAAUUUAAAUGUACUAAUCCCUUAUAUGGCUAA